CUUUUCAUUCCCGUUGUUAUGGAGGGCCACAUCUGCCAGAGCCUGGAGUCUGCGAAGGCCGGGACCCGGUUCCCCGGCCCACAGUGGGGGUGUGCAAACCCGAGAGAACUGGGAAGUGCCGUCAGAAGCGAUAACUGACGACGUCUAAUGUCUAUCUGACCGCAGUCGCUGAAACCUCUACAACUUAGUUGACCGUAACUGCCAGAGCCCUGCCCUGAAUUCCUGUCCUUACUCCCUCUUUAAGAUUGCGUACCCACUGCAGAGUGCUGAAGACGGGGUAGCCACGAGUCAAGUCUUCACCACUUGCUGGUUCCCAGGAGUAAACUUGUUUGAACGGUGACCUAAUUGCUAUAUUCACCUAGGUUGCAAAUUCGUGAAGAAUCAGCAUCAUGUUUGGCAGCUGAGUAUUGGAGCCAGGAGCCUGCCAUGAGGUUUUGAGAACAGAGUGCUGUUUUAGAGCUGGCAGCAGCAUCUCAGCCCAAGAGAAGGUUAUAUUCCCAGAGGAUGUCAGUCCCAAGGACCAGUAGCUGCCAUCAGUUUGGAUUCUGAAAACUAACUGGCAUCAACACUGGGUGUAGAAACAUGCUUGCCUUAUGUAUCAGAGGACAUGCUCAGCAGAUCCAAGAGAUAUAUUUGGCAACUUUUUCUAGAAAAGGCACAUUGGGUAUCAUUCAUUACAUUCUUGAGUUUUUUUGGGUUUUUUUUUUUUUUUUUGAGACAGUCUUGCUGUAUUGCCCAGGCUGGAGUGUGGUGGCACAAUCACAGCUCAUUGCAUCCUCAAUCACCCAGGCCUAAGCAAUCCUCCCACCUUGUAGCUGGGACUACAGCUCACAGCACACCUGGCUAAAAUUUUUUUUUUGUUGAGACGGAUUCUCUAUGUUGCCCAGGCUGGUCUCAGGCUCCUGGGCUCAGAUGGUCCUCCUGCCUCAGCUUCCAAAGGCACAGGCCAAGUUGUAGCUUUGUCCCUUGCCAUCAUGCCCAACAAGAGGUUCUAUACCUUUUAAUGAAUUGACUUUCAUAAAUUGGUUAUGUUGGUGGGCAAAGUUCUUUAAGCUGGAAAUUGUAAAUUCCUCCUGAAAUGUUUUUUCAUGCAGUUACCAUGAACUAAUACUACAAUAAAGGAUGGUCUUGGGUGUCAAUUCUUGAAAA
ensembl:lncRNA SNHG29 small nucleolar RNA host gene 29